rnacentral:rRNA from 1 species
GACGAACGCUGGCGGCGUGCUUAACACAUGCAAGUCGAACGGAAAGGCCCUGCUUUUGUGGGGUGCUCGAGUGGCGAACGGGUGAGUAACACGUGAGUAACCUGCCCUUGACUUUGGGAUAACUUCAGGAAACUGGGGCUAAUACCGGAUAGGAGCUCCUGCUGCAUGGUGGGGGUUGGAAAGUUUCGGCGGUUGGGGAUGGACUGGCGGCUUAUCAGCUUGUUGGUGGGGUAGUGGCUUACCAAGGCUUUGACGGGUAGCCGGCCUGAGAGGGUGACCGGCCACAUUGGGACUGAGAUACGGCCCAGACGCCAACGGGAGGCAGCAGUGGGGAAUAUUGCACAAUGGGCGGAAGCCUGAUGCAGCAACGCCGCGUGCGGGAUGACGGCCUUCGGGUUGUAAACCGCUUUCGCCUGUGACGAAGCGUGAGUGACGGUAAUGGGUAAAGAAGCACCGGCUAACUACGUG